UACGGAGGGUGCAAGCGUUAUCCGGAAUCACUGGGCUUAAAGGGUGCGUAGGCGGCGCAGUAAGUUGGGUGUGAAAUCCCUCGGCUUAACCGAGGAAUUGCGCCCAAAACUACUGUGCUCGAGGGAGGUAGAGGUGAGCGGAACUUAGGGUGGAGCGGUGAAAUGCGUUGAUAUCCUAAGGAACACCGGUGGCGAAAGCGGCUCACUGGACCUCUUCUGACGCUGAGGCACGAAAGCUAGGGUAGCAAACGGG
rnacentral:rRNA from 1 species